CUGGAAAACAAGGUGUACAUUAGUCUAAGAACAGGUAUGUAUCACAGAAAUUGUGGACCAACAUUGGUACGUUAUCAGGAGUGUGUGAAUUGCUUCGGGAGAAUGGCUGUGUGGUAUAGGUGGGCUUAAUGCAACCCGAUCAGGUUGUGGAGUUAUGGCCUUCUUCUAAACGUACCCUAAGCCCAAGAGGCCCUCGAGGGUGGGGACUGGAAAUGGA